AGCAGGCUGGAGGGGCGGGUGAAGCCCUUGCCGCAUUGGGCGCAGGUGUAGGGGCGUUCGCCGGUGUGGGUGCGCUGGUGGCCCACCAGGGUGCUGGACUGAGCGAAGCCCUUGCCGCACGUGGUACAGGUGUAGGGACGCUCACCGGUGUGGGUGCGCUGGUGCACCAGCAGGCCGCUGAACUGGGUGAAGCCCUUGCCGCAGUCGCUGCAG